AUUGACUGGUGGCUCAUCAUGUUAAUAUAUUCAGGUAACACCUGGGGUUGAGAAUUCAGCCCACCACAGACAGAAAGUUGCGUCACCUAAACUCAGGUUUUUGUGGCUUCUUGAUGUUAUUUGGUACUUUAAAAGACACAAGGAAAUAAAAAUGACAGCGAUGUAAACACAUUCCAUUAUUUUUUUUAUUAUGAGUGUCAAUUUCUACUCGUAUCCUUGAGGCAACCACUAAUUUUUUUCCCAAUUGGCUUGGCUAUUCUCUGAUUUCAGCAACCAUCUGCUCAAACCAGCCAUGGUUUAAUUGGGUGCAACUCUACAAAGCAACACAGAUGAGGUGUUACCAUGACCCAACUCACUUCUCACAUACGUAUCUUUUGCCAGUAUGGUCGCUUUUUCCAUACCAGCAUCAAAAUAGUUUGUUAAUCAACCACUGAACUAAAAAGCCCACAGAUCUAAAAUGACAGUCGUAACUAAACAAAGAGAGAAAAUGAAUCAUAGGAACAAUGAAGUACAAACAGGAAGACAAGUCUCCAGAAACAAAAGAUCACCAGCAAGCCAAGUAUCCUCUAUCAAGAUAUUGCUAACAACAUCAAAAAAUUGAUUAUUUUAAUCCCAGAGGUCUAAGUAUAUGUAAUAAAUACCACAUUUAUUUAUCUGUCUAGGUUGGCAGUGAUGGUUAUACAUUGGGAACAUAUAAAUAUUCUUUUAAGUACAUAUGCACAUGAAUAAUUUCAGGCAGUUUGAAUAUUUAAACCAAUUAAUCCUGGAAAGUUAU